GGGCCGGGUGUUGGAUAUCCCGGUGCAAGCGUGUAGGAAUAUCCGGUAGGCAAAUCCGCCGGACGAAUCUGAGACGCGAGUCCGUGGGCGCAAGCCCUGAAGCCGUUGAGUCUAUGCUGCCUAGAAAAGCUCCUAAGUUUAUCCACAGCAAUCCGUACCGCAAACCAACUCAGGUGGGUGGGAUGAACAAUCCAAGGCGCUCGAGAGAACUCUGGCCAAGGAACUCGGCAAAAUAACCCCGUAACUUCGGAAGAAGGGGUGCUCUCUAGGGUGACAUGUUUAACAUAUGAAGCCCCGGGGAGCCGCAGUGAAUUGGUGGUGGCGACUGUUUACUAAAAACAUAGGUCUGUGCGAAGUCCUAAAGACGACGUAUACGGACUGACGCCUGCCCGGUGCUGGAAGGUUAAAAGGAGGGGUCAGCGCAAGCAAAGCUCCGAAUUGAAGCCCCAGUAAACGGCGGCCGUAACUAUAACGGUCCUAAGGUAGCGAAAUUCCUUGUCGGGUAAGUUCCGACCUGCACGAAUGGCGUAACGAUCUCCACACUGUCUCGGCCAGAGACUCGGUGAAAUUGCAGUCGCGGUGAAAAUUCCGUGUACCCGCAGAAAGACGGAAAGACCCUGUGCACCUUUACUAUAGCUUGACAUUGGAUUUUGGGCCUGCAUGUGUAGGAUAGGUGGGAGGCUGUGAACCCUGUACGCCAGUAUGGGGGGAGCCAUCCUUGAAAUACCACCCUUGCAUGUUUAAGAUCCUAACUUCUUCCGGUUAUCCCGGAGAAAGACAGUGUCUGGCGGGUAGUUUGACUGGGGCGGUCGCCUCCUAAAGUGUAACGGAGGCAUGCAAAGGUUCCCUCAGCCUGAUCGGAAACCAGGCGCUGAGUGCAAACGCAUAAGGGAGCUUGACUGUAAGAGAGACAUCUCGAACAGGAACGAAAGUUGGCGUUAGUGAUCCGGUGGUCCCGAAUGGAAGGGCCAUCGCUCAUUGGAUAAAAGGUACGCCGGGGAUAACAGGCUGAUCGCAUCCAAGAGUUCACAUCGACGAUGC
rnacentral:rRNA from 1 species